CUAAGAGUCUGGGCCGCACGCGCGCUACACUGACAGAGCCAGCGAGUAAAUCACCUUGGCCGAAAGGUCUGGGUAAUCUUGUUAAACUCUGUCGUGCUGGGGAUAGAGCAUUGCAAUUAUUGCUCUUCAACGAGGAAUGCCUAGUAAGCGCAAGUCAUCAGCUUGCGUUGAUUACGUCCCUGCCCUUUGUACACACCGCCCGUCGCUACUACCGAUUGAAUGGCUAAGUGAGGCCUCGGGACUGGCUCAGAGAGGUCGGCAACGACCACUCAGAGCUGGAAACUUGUUCAAACUUGGUCAUUUAGAGGAAGUAAAAGUCGUAACAAGGUCUUCGUAGGUGAACCUGCGGAGGGAUCAUUACCGAGUUAGGGUCCUCAUCGGGCCCGACCUCCCAACCCAUUGUUUAUGAUACCUAGUGUUGCUUCGGUAGGCCUGGUCUAUCUGUUAUAGACCUGCCGGGGGGCCGUAAGACGCCCGCCGGAGAGUGCCUACCGACAGCCUCAACUCCAAAAUUCUUUAACCAAACGUGUCUUUGUCUGAGUAACGUCUUUUAAAAUAAAGCAAAACUUUCAACAACGGAUCUCUUGGUUCUGGCAUCGAUGAAGAACGCAGCGAAAUGCGAUAAGUAAUGCGAAUUGCAGAAUUCUCGUGAGUCAUCGAAUCUUUGAACGCACAUUGCGCCCUUUGGUAUUCCGAAGGGCAUGCCUGUUCGAGCGUCAUUUUCACCCCUCAAGCCCCCGGCUUGGUGUUGGACGGUCUGGUCCGGGGACCUCAACCCCCUGGACCCCUCCCAAAGACAAUGACGGCGGGCUGUUGAACCCCCGGUACACUGAGCAUCUUCACGGACACGUACCGGUCUCAAGGGUCGACGGCCCCCGGUCUAUACUAUUUUUUUCAGGGUUGACCUCGGAUCAGGGAGGAAUACCGCUGAACUUAGCAUAUCAUAACGGAGGAAAAAAACCACGGGAUUGCCUCAUACGCA
rnacentral:rRNA from 1 species